AUUGAACGCUGGCGGCAGGCCUAACACAUGCAAGUCGAACGAGUGGCGGACGGGUGAGUAAUGUCUGGGAAACUGCCUGAUGGAGGGGGAUAACUACUUGAAACGGUAGCUAAUACCGCAUACCAUCCGAUGUACCCAGAUGGGAUUAGCUAGUUGGUGGGGUAACGGCUAACCAAGGCGACGAUCCCUAGCUGGUCUGAGAGGAUGACCAGCCAAACUGGAACUGAGACACGGUCCAGACUCCUACGAGAGGCAGCAGAGGAGAAUAUUGAACAAUGGGCGCAAGCAUGAUGCAGCCAUGCCGGGUGUAUGAAGAAGGCCUUCGGGUUGUAAAGUACUUUCAGCGGGGAGGCGUUACCCGCAGAAGAAGCACCGGCUAACUCCGUGCCAGCAGCCGCGGUAAUUC
rnacentral:rRNA from 1 species